UAUAUACUCCCUCUGUCCGAAAAUGCUUGUCAUCAAAAUGGAUAAAAGGGGAUGUACCUAUAAUUAAAAUUCAUCUAGAUACAUCUCUUUUAUUUAUUUUGAUGACAAGUAUUUCCGGAGGGAGGGAGUACAUG
rfam:Triticum aestivum genome assembly, contig: Triticum_aestivum_CS42_TGACv1_scaffold_132581_2BL